GGGGGUAUGGCGCAACUGGUAGCGCACCUGCUUUGCAAGCAGGGGGUUACGGGUUCGAGUCCCGUUACCUCCACCA
rnacentral:tRNA from 1 species